rnacentral:rRNA from 1 species
GACAGAGGAUGCAAGCGUUAUCCGGAAUGAUUGGGCGUAAAGCGUCUGUAGGUGGCUUUUUAAGUCCGCCGUCAAAUCCCAGGGCUCAACCCUGGACAGGCGGUGGAAACUACCAAGCUGGAGUACGGUAGGGGCAGAGGGAAUUUCCGGUGGAGCGGUGAAAUGCGUAGAGAUCGGAAAGAACACCAACGGCGAAGGCGGGUCUCUGGGCCGAUACUGACGCUGAGGAGCGAAAGCGUGGGGAGCGAACAGG